rnacentral:rRNA from 1 species
GACGGAGGAUGCAAGCGUUAUCCGGAAUGAUUGGGCGUAAAGCGUCCGCAGGUGGUUUUGUAUGUCUGCUGUUAAAGAGUUAGGCUUAACCUAAUAAAGGCGGUGGAAACUACAAGACUAGAGUACGUUCGGGGCAGAGGGAAUUCCCAGUGUAGCGGUGAAAUGCGUAGAGAUUGGGAAGAACACCGGUGGCGAAAGCGCUCUGCUAGGCCUGUACUGACACUGAGGGACGAAAGCUAGGGGAGCGAAUGGG